AUACGGAGGGUGCAAACGUUGUUCGGAAUCACUGGGCGUAAAGGGCGCGCAGGCGGUUUGAUUAGUCAGAUGUGAAAGCCCACGGCUUAACCGUGGAAGUGCAUUUGAAACUGUCAGACUUGAGUACCAGAGGGGGUAGUGGAAUUCCCGGUGUAGAGGUGAAAUUCGUAGAUAUCGGGAGGAAUACCGGUGGCGAAGGCGACUACCUGGCUGGAUACUGACGCUGAGGCGCGAAAGCGUGGGGAGCAAACAGGAUUAGAUACCCUAGUAGUC
rnacentral:rRNA from 1 species